CCACUAGCUCGAGCUCGAGGAGCUCCCUGACGCCCAUCCCCACCAUGGCCGCCGCCUCGGGCUCUGCCCAAUUCCGGCGAUGCCGUGCCCCUCUCCCUGUUCCCCCACCACCUAUGCGUUCCUCGAGGUCCGGCGCACCUCCCCUUAGCCUUGCCCACCCAGUUCUCCCACCGGAGCCCCUUGUUCGCCGGAGUCCAAAGACCACCUCCGCUGCGAGCCCUGCUGCUCCUUCUCCCGUGCUCCUCGCCGGAAACGGACACCACCACGGGAUGCGCCUCUCGCUCCUGAGCUCGUGGAUAGGUCGGCCGUCGUCUGAGGCGGCCGGAGCCGCCGGCAAUCGCCGUCGAGGCGGGCGUCUCCCUCGGCCAGGCUCGCGUACGCGCGGGAGGAAGAAGAAGCCCGGCCAGGCGGGCCCCACCCUGCGGGACCCACCUGUCGGUGAGAGGAGGGCGUGGCCCCGCUGGCCACGUCGGAUAAGUGGACGCGCCCGCCCGUAGAAACCGUUUCCCUGCUGUGGAAGUGUAUUCCACGUGAAUAAGCUUUCCUAGUCAGAAAACGUAUUCCCUGGGCACUUCGGCCGAAAAUGCGUUUCCCUGUGCGGAAAACAUAUUCAGCCCAAAGGCACGUUCAGUUUUUCCUCCAGGGGCCUGUUUGCUGAAAAACUUUCACCGAUAGGUCCCUGAACUUCAAACCUGCGUAUCUCGACAACCGUAACUCCGAUUGAGGUGAAACCAACGCUCACGUCUUCGUCUCGUCGAACUCUUUCCAUUGGUAUCAUAUUCAUUAUGUUUUCACACAGUGAAAAUGACCACUUUUCCCUUGCCCAUAAACAGCACCCUCCGAGAGAGAACUGUUUCCUGCAAAUCUUUCCGCGAUCGUUCCGCACUUUUUCCGGAGUAAUCCUCGGCCCCAGGCAAGCCAACCUCUUAUCAUGAGCCCCGAACUUGCAUGUUGACUUUGCUGUUUUGUAGGUCGUUCGCUUGUUCCGUUGUGCUAGGCCAUAAUCUUGCCAGUCCUGUGCGUUAUGGUGCCCCGCCUUAGUGAGACGCUGCCAAACCAAGAUUUCCGCCGCCAUUUAUAUGGACUUCCGCUGCCAUGUAAAUAGCCUUAGGGCUAUGCCAGAAAAUUGUAUUCAUCAAUGAUGUAAUCUUAUACACAUGUAUUUGAUGAAUAUUAUUGUA